CCUACGGGAGGCAGCAGUGAGGAAUAUUGGUCAAUGGCCGGAAGGCUGAACCAGCCAAGCCGCGUGAAGGACGAAGGUGCCAAGCAUUGUAAACUUCUUUUGUCAAGGGACAAAAUCAGGCUCGAGAGCCUGACCGCGGGUACUUGAAGAAAAAGCAUCGGCUAACUCCGUGCCAGCAGCCGCGGUAAUACGGAGGAUGCGAGCGUUAUCCGGAUUUAUUGGGUUUAAAGGGUGCGUAGGCGGGCUAUUAAGUCAGCGGUAAAAGCCCGGGGCUCAACCCCGGUGAGCCGUUGAAACUGGCUGUCUUGAGAUGGCGGGAGGUAUGCGGAAUGCGCAGGGUAGCGGUGAAAUGCUUAGAUAUGGCGCAGAAGUCCGAUUGCGAAGGCAGCAUACCGGCGGCGAUCUGACGCUGAGGCACGAAAGCGUGGGUAUCGAACAGGAUUAGAUACCCGGGUAGUC
rnacentral:rRNA from 1 species